rnacentral:rRNA from 1 species
UGCAAGUCGUACGAGAAUCGUAGCAAUACGAGGAAAGUGGCGAAAGGGAGAGGAUUACGUGGGAAUCUACCCUCAGACCUGGGAUAGCGGCGGGAAACUGCCGGUAAUACCAGAUAAUGUCUUUGGACCAAAGGUGUGAUUCCGUCUGGGGAUGAGCCCACGUCCUAUUAGCUUGUUGGUGGGGUAAUGGCCUACCAAGGCAAUGAUGGGUAGCGGGUGUGAGAGCACGACCCGCCUCACUGGGACUGAGAUACUGCCCAGACACCUACGGGUGGCUGCAGUCGAGAAUCUUCGGCAAUGGGCGAAAGCCUGACCGAGCGACGCCGCGUGCGGGAUUGAAGGCCUUCGGGUUGUAAACCGCUGUCGUAGGGGAGCAAGAGAAGAGGGUUCUCCCUCUAAUUUGAGCGAUCCUAGGAGGAAGGACGGGCUAAGUUCGUGCCAGCAGCCGCGGUAAGACGAACCGUCCGAACGUUAUUCGGUAUCACUGGGCUUAAAGAGUUCGUAGGCGGCUCCGUAGGUGAGGUGUGAAAUCCCUCGGCUCAACCGAGGAAUUGCGCUUCAAACCGUGGAGCUAGAGGAAGAUAGGGGUGAGCGGAACAGAUGGUGGAGCGGUGAAAUGCGUUGAUAUCAU